GAUGAACGCUAGCGGCAGGCUUAAUACAUGCAAGUCGAACGGCAGCACGGGUAGCAAUACCUGGUGGCGAGUGGCGCACGGGUGCGUAACACGUAUGCAACUUACCCUAUACUGAGACAUAACACAUCGAAAGGUAUGCUAAUAUCUCAUAACAUUACGAAGCGGCAUCGUUUUGUAAUUAAAGUUUUAAUGGUAUAGGAUAGGCAUGCGUCCCAUUAGCUAGUUGGUAAGGUAACGGCUUACCAAGGCGACGAUGGGUAGGGGUUCUGAGAGGAAAGUCCCCCACACUGGUACUGAGACACGGACCAGACUCCUACGGGAGGCAGCAGUAAGGAAUAUUGGUCAAUGGGCGAGAGCCUGAACCAGCCAUGCCGCGUGAAGGAAGACGGCCUUAUGGGUUGUAAACUUCUUUUAAGAGGGUAAAAACUGGGCUACGUGUAGCCCAUUGCUUGUACCUUUUGAAUAAGCAUCGGCUAACUCCGUGCCAGCAGCCGCCGUAAUAC
rnacentral:rRNA from 1 species